GAGUCCGUCCCAGUCAGGACACAGCAUGGCCAUGAGGGUCCCCGCUCAGCUCCUGGGGCUGCUGCUGCUCUGCUUCUCAGGUGUGCAAGGUGACAUCCAGAUCACCCAGUCUCCGUCGUCCCUGUCCAAAUCUCCAGGAGACGCAGUCACCAUCACUUGCCAGGCCAGUAAGAACAUCUAUAGUGAUUUGGCCUGGUAUCAGCAGAAACCAGGGAGAGCUCCCAGGCUUCUGAUCUAUUAUGCAACCAGUUUACAAACUGGGGUCCCAGCCAGGUUCAGUGGCGGUGGGUCUGGGACAGACUACACUCUCACCAUCGGCAGCCUGGAGCCUGAAGAUGCUGCCACUUAUUACUGUCAGCAGCAUCUCAGUUGGCUUUGUGGAAGAGCCAGAAUUUGUGCAGAGCCAUAUCUGGUGAACAAGUACACCACCAUUGACCCCAGCAAAACUUCCUGA